GGUUGAUCCUGCCAGUAGUCAUAUGCUUGUCUCAAAGAUUAAGCCAUGCAUGUCUAAGUAUAAAUGAAUCAAAAUGUGAAACUGCGAAUGGCUCAUUAAAUCAGUUAUAGUUUAUUUGAUAUGUAACCUUUACCAGUGGAUAACCGUGGUAAUUCUAGAGCUAAUACAUGCAUCAAAAGCCCCGACUCUCGCGGAAGGGGUGUAUUUAUUAGAUAAAAAACCAAUACUGGUCCUUCGGGGCCGGUUUUUGGAGGAUUCAUAAUAACUUUUCGAAUCGCAUGGCCUUUUGCGC
rnacentral:rRNA from 1 species